UUAAACAUGAGAGUUUGAUCCUGGCUCAGGAUGAACGCUGGCGGCGUGCCUAACACAUGCAAGUCGAACGAAGCAAUUGAAGGAAGUUUUCGGAUGGAAUUCGAUUGACUGAGUGGCGGACGGGUGAGUAACGCGUGGAUAACCUG
rnacentral:rRNA from 1 species